rnacentral:rRNA from 1 species
CCUACGGGUGGCAGCAGUGGGGGAUAUUGCACAAUGGGGGAAACCCUGAUGCAGCGACGCCGCGUGUGGGAAGACGGUCCUAUGGAUUGUAAACCACUGUCCCCAGGGACGAAGAUGACGGUACCUGGGGAGGAAGCUCCGGCUAACUACGUGCCAGCAGCCGCGGUAAUACGUAGGGAGCGAGCGUUGUCCGGAAUUACUGGGUGAAAAGGGAGCGUAGGCGGGACUGCAAGUUGGGUGUCAAAUCUACCGGCUCAACCGGUAGCCGCACUCAAAACUGCAGUUCUUGAGUGAAGGAGAGGCAUGCGGAAUGCCUAGUGUAGCGGUGAAAUGCGUAGAUAUUAGGAGGAACACCAGUGGCGAAGGCGGCCUGCUGGGCUUUUACUGACGCUGAGGCUCGAAAGUGUGGGGAGCAAACAGGAUUAGAUACCCCGGUAGUC